rnacentral:rRNA from 1 species
GACGAACGCUGGCGGCGUGCUUAACACAUGCAAGUCGAACGGAAAGGCCCUGCUUUUGUGGGGUGCUCGAGUGGCGAACGGGUGAGUAACACGUGAGUAACCUGCCCUUGACUUUGGGAUAACUUCAGGAAACUGGGGCUAAUACCGGAUAGGAGCUCCUGCUGCAUGGUGGGGGUGGGAAAGUUUCGGCGGUUGGGGAUGGACUCGCGGCUUAUCAGCUUGUUGGUGGGGUAGGGGCUUACCAAGGCUUUGACGGGUCGCCGGCCUGAGAGGGUGACCGGCCACCUUGGUCCUGAGAUACGGACCAGACUCCUACGGGAGGCAGCAGUGGGGAAUCUUGCACAAUGGGCGGACGCCUGAUGCAGCAACGCCCCGUGCGGGAUGCCGGCCUUCGGGUUGUAAACCGCUUUCGCCUGUGACGAAGCGUGAGUGACGGUAAUGGGUAAAGAAGCACCGGCUAACUACGUG